rnacentral:rRNA from 1 species
CCUAGCCCUGAAGCGGGGGACAACAGCUUGAAAGAGCUGCUAAUACCGCAUGUGUCUAUUGGGUGGCAUCAUUCAAUAAACAAAGCCGCAAGGCACUUCAGGAUGGGCCCGCGGCCUAUCAGCUAGUUGGUGAGGUAACGGCUCACCAAGGCUUCGACGGGUAGCUGGUCUGAGAGGACGAUCAGCCGGAUUGGGACUGAGAUACGGCCCAG